rnacentral:lncRNA from 1 species
UCUUAUUGCCUGUAGGGUCUUGACUGAGAAGUCCACUGACAGCCUGAUGGGCUUCCCUUUAUAUGUCACUUGUGGCCUUUCUCUUGCUGCUUUUAGGAUUCUCUCUUUGUCUUUAAUUUUAGACAUUUUGAUUAUAAUAUAUCUUGGUGUGGGUCUCUUUGGGCUUCUCUUGUUUGGAGCUCUCUGUGCUUCCUGAACUUGGAUGUCUGUUUCCUUCCUCAGGUGAGGAAAACUUUCCUCUAUCAUUUUGACAAAUAAAUUUUCUGCCCCUUUGUCUCUCUCUUCUCCUUCUAGGACCCCUAUGCUCCGAAUGUUAGCAUGCUAGAUAUUGUCCCAGAGUUCCCUAACACUGUUCUCGUUCUGUCUAAUUAUUUUUUCUCUUUUCUGUUCUGCUUGGAUGAUUUCCUCUAAUCUUUUGUCUAGCUCGCUGAUCCGUUCUUCUGCUUCCUCUUCUCUGCUGUUGAGUCCCUCUAGUGAAUUUCUCAUUUCAAGUAUUGUAUUCUUCAUUUCUGAUUGGUUCUUUUUUAUAUCUUCCAGUUCUUUGCUGAUGUGCUCACUGUGUUCAUCCAUUCUUCUCCACAUAUCUGUGAGCAUCCUCAUUAUAUUUUGUUUGAAUUCUUUGUCAAAGAGGUCACUAGUUUCUGUUUCACUUAGUUCUUUUUCUGGUGUUUUGUAGUCUUCCCUUGCUUGGAAAGUAUUCCUUUGCCUCCUCAUUAUGCCUCUUUCUCUGUGCUAUUUUCUUUGUACUAGGUGAGUCAGCUAUGUCUCCUGAUCUUGGAGAAGUGGCCUUAUGUAUGAGAUGCCUUAUGAGGUCCAGCAGUGUGCUUCCCUCUCGUCCCCAGACCAUAAGAACCAGGAGUGACCCCUUUGUGGGCCACUUGUGUUCCUCUGCUGUGACAGGGUUGCUUCCACUGCAGGUACCCAGGGAGUCUGAUCUUUCCUUCCCUGGCCAGCUAUUUGUAAAUCCGGUUUGGUGGGGCCUCAGCACUGUUGGCUACAAAGCCUAUUAGCACACUCUUAUUGCAAUUGUCCUCUUAAUUGGGUUGGUACCCAGUGUAGCUGGUUGCUAGGCUCAGGGGCUACAGUUGUGAUAGGCCUGAGGCCAACAGGCUGUUGUCAGUUCUCUUAGGAGUGCAGCUGAGUGGGGCUAGCCCUUGGCAUGGAGGCACUCAGUUGUUUCAGGCUUUGGAAGGUGGGGCUGAUCCUUUUUAUGGCUAUUUGUGAAGCACAAGUCUUCUGCCACUGAUAAGCCUCACACCCCCAC